CUUUAAAUAUUUAUUUUGACAUUAAUUUAUAUGUAAGUAUUUGCUUUAGAAAUAUUUCUUAAAGGAUUGUUUAGGGAAGAAAGGCAGUAAAUAAUAUUAUUGAUAUUAAAUAAGUUUAGAUUUGGUAAAUGUUAAUAGGAUUGGUAAAAGUUGUGCCAGCAUCCGCGGUUACACAACAAAUUCAAAUAAAUAUUUUUGGUUUUGAAGUAAUAAUCAUUAUAGUUUUGUUAUAAGAGAUAUUUUAAGGUGAAAUAUUUAAAAUAUUUUAAGUAGUUAUAGGAUGAGUGAGAUGUUAUGAAAUUAAAAUUGUAAACUAGGAUUAGAUACCCUAUUAUUUUUAAUGUAAAGAGUUAAGCCAGAGUAUUAUUAGUUAUGGUCUUGAAACUUAAAGAAUUUGGCGGUAUUAUAGUCUAUUUAGAGGAAUCUGUUAUGUAAUCGAUAAUCCACGUUGAACCUUACUUAUAUUAAUUUUUGUAUACCGCUGUUUAACGAAUAUAUUUUUAGAUAAUUUUCUGGAAAAAUUAGUAAUUAGGAUUUCAAGUCAAGGUGCAGUAAUAUAUAAGAUAUAUAAUGGAUUACAAUAAUUUAUAUUUAUUACGGAUAAUACUUGUAAAAGUAAAUUGAAGGUGGAUUUAAUUGUAAUUUUUUGAAGAUUAUUAAAAUGAUUUAUAGCUCUAUAAUAUGCACACAUCGCCCGUCGCUCUCGUUAAUUAAGAUGAGAUAAGUCGUAACAAAGUAGAUGUAUCGGAAGGUGUAUCUAGAAUUAU
rnacentral:rRNA from 1 species